rnacentral:rRNA from 1 species
GAUGAGAUUUCCCAUUCCGCAAGGAAGUAAGAUCCCUGAAAGAUGAUCAGGUUGAUAGGUCUGAGGUGGAAGUGUGGCGACACAUGGAGCUGACAGAUACUAAUCGAUCGAGGACUUAACCAA